rnacentral:rRNA from 1 species
AGUUAAAAAGCUCGUAGUUGGAUUUCUGGUUGAAGCGACCGGUCGGGCGUUGAUUCGUCUGCACUGGAGUCGGUUUUGGCCAUCCUCUAGGAAAGUGCGUCUGGUAUUAAGUUGUCGGGCGUAUGAUCCUGGUCUUUUACUGUGAAAAAAUUAGAGUGUUUAAAGCAGGCCUUCGCCUUGAAUACAUUAGCAUGGAAUAAUAAGAUAGGACUUUGGUCUAUUUUGUUGGUUUGCAGACCGAAGUAAUGAUUAAUAGGGAUAGUUGGGGGUAUUUAUAUUCCGAUGUCAG